UUACAGCACAGAGAGAUUGUGGUUUGAGUUUCUUCUUUCAGUGAGCAUGCGUUUUUAGUAGCGGACAGACUGUUCUUUGUCUCCUGAGCCCAGUGGCUUGGGGCUGAUGGGCUUAUUUUCUUUCUUUCUUUUUUUUUGUGUUUUGGAAAAACGCUUCUUUUCUCGCUCUCUCUCUCUCUCACAACCCAUUUUUGGUUGAAUUUUUUUUUGUUUGUUUGUUUUUGAGAGAUACAUGAUUAAGGAUUAUGAGCAAUCAGCUUUGUAAUGGACAAAUUUCAUGAGUGAACAUAAGUGGAGAAUUAUAGCUCAGAUGCUCACAUGAAGGCAGGGUUGAGGAAGAGAGACCGAAAGACGAGGAAGAGGAGAGCAGAGAAGAAGGAGACACUUCGUUAACAGCUGCUGUGGCUGAUAGGCGAGUAAACGUGCCAGGGAUGCCAGCCACCAUCUUACAACUAGCAGUCGCUAUGGAAACCUCACGGCCGCUAGAGUCGACCCAGCCUCUUUGGUUGUCUUGGCUGGUGUGAAGGCUGGGAAUAAUGGCCGCUCACAAAUUCUCUCUGAGGGGAGAGAGUGAGAUGAGAUCAUGGUGGAGUGGUGAUGAGUGGUAUAGACAGUAAAAUCCACUGGCCCGAAACCAGUUUGGACCUGCACUUUGCCCAGUCGGGCCAUUAGCAGCGCUGUGCGAGCUGCUUUACUGAGCAGCCAGAAAUAACAGACUGUGCCAACAAUCCAUGCACAGCAAGCUGGGAGAGGUCAGAGGUCAAUGCGGUGGCGCUAAACCGCAGCUGUGCCGACACCAGAGGAAGUGUGGUAAGUCAAUCACCCUUAACACCACCUCUCUCCCUCAACUCCCAACACACUCAGCAUUAAAGAAAAAAAAAGAAAAACUCAAGCUCAAGCUGGACAAGCCUAGAGUUAAAAAUUUUAUAUGUACUGUGGAACAGAGCCUCAUAACUGCCAUAUGAAAGGCGACUAUGAGAUGUGCUGUAAAUAAGUUGACCCAGAGCCAAAAACAGGCUGCGAUUUUAGUGCAGAAUUCUGCCAUGGACACCUUGUGUAAUAAGUGUUUGCAGUAACAAAAACAAUCAAAGGCCCCAUGACCUUUGACCUGACUUUUGUGGGGGACAGAUUACUCGAUUGAUGUGCCUGUUGCUAAACCUUGUUAGUUUGCGAAUGCAACGCAAAUGAGCCUUUUCCAUUAUCUAAUAACUCGGAAAAGCUCCCUCUCAGCUGUCGCCCGCUUUAUCCAAACAUCUGCAUGCAACUGCACACCAAUCUGCAUAAGCUAAUUACAGCUAAUCUAAUCCAGGAGGGGAGAGGUGGCUGAAAAGACCUUUACAAAUAUCAGCUGUACCCACAGCUUCAGUAAUGAAGAAAAUGGCUAGCUUACAGAUAGAGUGAGAGGUUGAGCUGGUGCAGCUUGUGUUGAUUUUCGCUUGUGUGUUUUUGUGAGUUCGGUGUUAAUCGCUAACGGACAUUCGACAUUUACUGUGGCACGCUCUCUGCUCGGCCAGAGGUCACUAUGGCAAUGGCCGAUGAAUACUCAUCAGUUUACUGAAACUCGGCCUCGGGUUGAUGUUCACUUUAAUAAGCUUCCUAGUUCAAGAGAGAGGAAGAGUCAGGGAGAUGUGUGUGCUGAACUACUGAACUCCUGACAUUUCUGUGGGUCCUAUCUAAGGACAGCACUUCAACACAUUGUUCAAACCUCUCCCCCCCCAUGCUUUUCUACACUUUAAGAGCGUCUGUUGGAUGACGCAUAAGAGGUGGAACGAUUUCUUACACACAAGCACCGAGUUCUUAUCUAAUCUGAGGUACUGCUGCGUCUCUCUCGUAAAACCAAUUCACUGCAAAGCCUGUAGCUUUAUGCAUACACACUUUACCAAUACAGUGCAAUCAUACACAUUGCCCACAUUAACGUUCUAUUAUUUCGCAUGCAUUUAUUCUCUUGAUUUAAUGUUGUGAUUCUGUUAGGAGUAACACAUAAAAAUAGAUCAUAUUGAUAUCUAAUACGUAAUUUCCAAAAUGCGAACCCCUGCAUACCAUAAAUGGUUUAAAGUAAUUGAUAUUCAGUUAUGCUGCGUGCACUGCCAACACUGUGUUAGCCACAUGGUGUAAGUGCAGGAAAUUCCACUUCCCAGGGGCACCCCAGCUCUAAUGAAUGUAUAAUAGCUACGUUUCUACUUGAAGUGACUGGUCCGAGUUUGGUACAUAGUGCGCUAAUGCCUCUUUGCUGUAAAGACUUGGAGAUUACCCAAAAAAAAAAAAAAAACACUUCUAUGUUGUAAUGAGAGGAAAAAUGGCUUAAAAUUUUGAGAUCACUGAAACAAACAUUUUCCCCAUCUUUGUGAGUGAGCGAUUUUCUAAACUACAGACUUCAGUGUGAGAGGCUGGCUGAGAUGGAGCACUUGUGUGUGCCUUCUCUGUCUUAAAAAAAAGUAAAAAAAAAAAAUGAAGGCGAAUUCUGUUUAAUCUUAACUUGAGAGAACUUCUUGUGAAACUCCAUGCCAUUAUCUUCUCGUAACUCCCUCAUCAAAUCACCCUACCCACUAUCAACAACACCGCGAGUGUGUGUAUGGAUAGCUGGGAUGGAUGGCUGACCGCUCAUUCAAACAAACAUGAUCUCUGACCUCUUGGGUAAACAUGGCUGAAAAUUGGCUUUUAUAUACACCUCUUAUCUAUCUUUCCAUCCAAUCACUGCCUAGUCCCCAUCAGGGCAGCCAAACACACUUUAAGCUAAAGGCCUUGUGUGAGGGAGUGUUUGUGUACAUGUUCAGUAAUGGUUUUUACAGAACGUCAUGGUCAGUGUGAAUGCAGCCACUGAAGCCAAAGCGCAUGCUGUUCAAAGCUCCACACAAACAGAGGCUGACUGCUCUGAAGACCAGCCUCAAGCUCCUUCAAGUGUUCCAUGAGCUUUUAUAUGUACUUUUGGCAGCACUCACAAAUAGGGUGCAAUUUUUCCUUCUUCUUGCUUUGGAUCAAGAUAAGUGUGGAAAGAGAGGGGUGUUUAAUUCCAUAAAAGCACAAUAGUCCUAUUCUAACCAGGCAAAAGAUUUUGCCAUUUAAUAUCCUCACUCGCUCACCCCCCUCCCUAGUUAUUAAUCAGGAUAUUAUAGCUCAGCUGUGUGUGGAUAUGCUUUAGGAGAAAAUCUGUGACUUACCUUCCUCAUACAUAUCAUGUGUGUGGAUUUGUAUUUGAAGGUCUAUUUGUGUGUGUGUGUGCAUGUGAUAGCUUUAGGUUAUAGCUCUGAAGUACUGUGUGAGCACUUUCAUUUUCUGAGGUAAUUCUCUCCAAAUAUCCUCUGCAUUUCCCUUCACUCUGACGCAUGCAAAAAAUGCGCUUAUACACCGAGGAGACUGCUGCAUCUAUUCACAAUACUUUCCUCCCUCUCUUUUACACUCUCUCUCUCUCCAUAGGAGUAAAAGAUGAAAAAAAAACAUGCAGUGAUUUCCUCUCUAAUUUGUUUGUGUUUGCUUACAGUUCGUCAGUGAUGUGCUGACUUAGCUGUGCGUUUUUCAUGGGAAGCUAUCAAAUUCAUACGGUAGGAAACACACUCCCAAGACAAGAUGCCGCUGUUUUGUACAUCAUGAAGUCCCAUUAGCAUGAGAACUCACAAAACACAUUGUACUUGCUCGGUUGGGUUAACUGCCAGUUAGACUGAUGUUCACAUUGAGAAGAAUCUGCUGACCAUGUCGAUGCUGAUUUCCUGUGUGUGUAUAUGUAUCUGGAUGCAUAUAUACAGGUUAAGACCGGUUAAAUAUUGUCAAACAAAUAUUUCUACAGUAAGAUAUUUAUUCCAGGAAUGAUAUUUAUAUCUUUUAGCCAAAAUGAAUAAUACAAAAAAAAUGAAUUUCGCAUGUACAAUUAUAUUUUUUAUAUU